rnacentral:rRNA from 1 species
UUGCUAGUAAUCGCGGAUCAGCAUGCCGCGGUGAAUACGUUCCCGGGCCUUGUACACACCGCCCGUCACACCACGAGAGUUUGUAACACCCGAAGUCGGUGGGCGAACCGUUAUGGACGCAGCCGCCGAAGGUGGGACAAAUGAUUGGGGUGAAGUCGUAACAAGGUAGCCGUAUCGGAAGGUGCGGCUGGAUCACCUCCUUUCU